AUCCGGGUUGCGGACAGUGUCUGGUGGGUAGUUUGACUGGGGCGGUCUCCUCCUAAAGAGUAACGGAGGAGCACGAAGGUUAGCUAAUCCUGGUCGGACAUCAGGAGGUUAGUGCAAAGGCAUAAGCUAGCUUGACUGCGAGAGUGACGGCUCGAGCAGGUGCGAAAGCAGGUCUUAGUGAUCCGGUGGUUCUGAAUGGAAGGGCCAUCGCUCAACGGAUAAAAGGUACUCCGGGGAUAACAGGCUGAUACCGCCCAAGAGUUCAUAUCGACGGCGGUGUUUGGCACCUCGAUGUCGGCUCAUCACAUCCUGGGGCUGAAGUAGGUCCCAAGGGUAUGGCUGUUCGCCAUUUAAAGUGGUACGCGAGCUGGGUUUAGAACGUCGUGAGACAGUUCGGUCCCUAUCUGCCGUGGGCGCUGGAGAAUUGAGGGGGGCUGCUCCUAGUACGAGAGGACCGGAGUGGACGCAUCACUGGUGUUCGGGUUGUCAUGCCAAUGGCAUUGCCCGGUAGCUAAAUGCGGAAGAGAUAAGUGCUGAAAGCAUCUAAGCACGAAACUUGCCCCGAGAUGAGUUCUCCCUGACUCCUUGAGAGUCCUGAAGGAACGUUGAAGACUACGACGUUGAUAGGUCGGGUGUGUAAGUGUAGCGAUACAUUGAGCUAACCGAUACUAAUGAACCGUGAGGCUUAACCUUACAACGCCAAAGGUGUUUUG
rnacentral:rRNA from 1 species